rnacentral:rRNA from 1 species
UGGGGAAUAUUGGACAAUGGGCGCAAGCCUGAUCCAGCCAUGCCGCGUGAGUGAUGAAGGCCCUAGGGUUGUAAAGCUCUUUCACCGGUGAAGAUAAUGACGGUAACCGGAGAAGAAGCCCCGGCUAACUUCGGGCCAGCAGCCGCGGUAAUACGAAGGGGGAUAGCGUUGUUCGGAUUUACUGGGCGUAAAGCGCACGUAGGCGGACUAGUAAGUCAGGGGUGAAAUCCCGGGGCUUAACCCCGGAACUGCCUUUGAUACUGGUAGUCUUGAGUUCGAGAGAGGUGAGUGGAAUUCCGAGUGUAGAGGUGAAAUUCGUAGAUAUUCGGAGGAACACCAGUGGCGAAGGCGGCUCACUGGCUCGAUACUGACGCUGAGGUGCGAAAGCGUGGGGAGCAAACAGG